rnacentral:rRNA from 1 species
AGCCUGAUGCAGCGACGCCGCGUGCGGGAUGAAGGCCUUCGGGUUGUAAACCGCUUUUGAUUGGGAGCAAGCGAGAGUGAGUGUACCUUUCGAAUAAGCACCGGCUAACUACGUGCCAGCAGCCGCGGUAAUAA